AAGAAUUUAUGAACCAGACCUUUGCACUGUGAGUGAACUGCAUCAGACAGGCAGGGGAAGCAAGAUGGAAUCACAGACGCAUGUCCUCAUUUCCCUUCUUCUCUCGGUAUCUGGUACCUGUGGGGACAUUGCGAUAACCCAGUCUCCAUCCUCUGUGGCUGUGUCAGUAGGAGAGACGGUCACUCUGAGCUGCAAGUCCAGUCAGAGUCUUUUAUACAGUGAAAACAACAAGGACUAUUUGGCCUGGUACCAGCAGAAACCAGGGCAGACUCCUAAACCGCUUAUCUACUGGGCAACCAACCGGCACACUGGGGUCCCUGAUCGCUUCACAGGUAGUGGAUCCGGGACAGACUUCACUCUGAUCAUCAGCAGUGUGCAGGCUGAAGACCUGGCUGAUUAUUACUGUGAGCAGUACUUUGUCUAUCCUCCCACAGUGCCUCAGUCCCCAACACAAACCUCCUUAAGUUUCAACAGCUGUAUAGACCAUACACAGUUGUGGGCAUGCACAGUUCCCCCUUCUUCCUGAGAGCUGGCAUGCCCGCAAAACUGAAGAAAACAUUUACAGAGCCCAAGAAAAAAUAAUGUGUUCAAUGCCUCUUAUGUCUUUUGGCAUAAAAACUCUAUAUACCAAAAUACAGAAAAAAUACCCCCAGUAUUAUUUUCUAUUCCUUCUGAAAUAUGAACAAUAUACCACAAACUGUUGAAUAAAUAUGAGGGAUUAGCUUUUUAUAGUUCUAUAAAUCUACUAUCUAAUGUAAGACCCAUGGGCUCAUGUGGUGAUAUUGUUAAACCGUGUUUUGGUUAGAUAUAUAUAGAAAAAAUAUUUCUUGCUUUUUCUAAAUCCUAGAGGCUUUUCUUUUUUUUCUCCAUUUUAGUUUAUUUUUCUUCCUCCCUCUUCAUUAAAUUGGGUAAUUCUUAUUUACAUUUCAAUUGUUUUUCCUUUUCCCUGUUUCCAGGCCUACAUCCCCCUAACCCCUCCC
rnacentral:lncRNA from 14 species